UCACUUACGGUGAGGAGCGGCGGACGGGUUAGUAACGCGUGGGAAUAUACCCUUCACUAUGGAAUAGCCUCGGGAAACUGAGAGUAAUACCAUAUACGCCCUUCGGGGGAAAGAUUUAUCGGUGAAGGAUUAGCCCGCGUAAGAUUAGAUAGUUGGUGGGGUAAUGGCCUACCAAGUCUACGAUCUUUAGCUGGUUUGAGAGGAUGAUCAGCAACACUGGGACUGAGACACGGCCCAGACUCCUACGGGAGGCAGCAGUGGGGAAUCUUAGACAAUGGGCGCAAGCCUGAUCUAGCCAUGCCGCGUGAGUGACGAAGGUCUUAGGAUCGUAAAGCUCUUUCGCCAGAGAUGAUAAUGACAGUAUCUGGUAAAGAAACCCCGGCUAACUCCGUGCCAGCAGCCGCGGUAAUACGGAGGGGGUUAGCGUUGUUCGGAAUUACUGGGCGUAAAGCGUACGUAGGCGGAUUGGAAAGUAGGGGGUGAAAUCCCAGGGCUCAACCCUGGAACUGCCUCCUAAACUAUCAGUCUAGAGUUCGAGAGAGGUGAGUGGAAUUCCAAGUGUAGAGGUGAAAUUCGUAGAUAUUUGGAGGAACACCAGUGGCGAAGGCGGCUCACUGGCUCGAUACUGACGCUGAGGUACGAAAGUGUGGGGAGCAAACAGGAUUAGAUACCCUGGUAGUCCACACCGUAAACGAUGAAA
rnacentral:rRNA from 1 species